rnacentral:lncRNA from 1 species
GGACCCAGAGGCUUGCUGAGGGGCAGGGCAGAGGGCCGAGGGGGAGGGCGUUUGGGGUGGGCAGAGCUGCUCCGGAAGGGGGCCUGAGGCUUCCUCCCAAGCCGCAGCCUUCCCCGCCUUGCUACCUGGCUCUGCCACAUGCUAGCUGUUACCUAAUUUCUCUGCAAGCCAAUCUCCUACCUGUAACGUGGGGCUAGUGACACUUUCCACCUGUGCUGGCCACAGAGCGAGUGCUCAGUGACAGUCCUUAUCACCAGCAUUUUGCAGAGCCGAAGUUGACUGCCCCGUGGACCCAAGCCUGGAACUGCCUUUCUCCCGUCCCUUCCCCCACAUUGAAUGUGACUGCUCCUCCCCUCUCUCCUGGAACUCACAGCCCCAAGCCUGCCUCGAACACCUGUGUGCCACAUCCUUCAGGGAGCACCCCUGCCCGGCUUCACGUGAACACAGAAAUGGCCAAAUGUCCUCCAGGAGAGGAAAAGGGCCCACGGAUAAGAGGAGGAGCCGCUGGCCGCCGGCGAAAAAUACCGGGCUUCUGCAAGAGACCAGGAAGUACUGGCCACUUCUUCAACCCUCUUUAGCAGAGGUGAGGGGCAGUGCCCAUCCAGAGUGGAGCCCUCCCUCGCCAAAGCCUUAGGUGGGUGUGUCCCUGGGCCCAGCCCAGAGUCUGGCACCAACGGGCCUUGCCAAGUAGCUGCUGAGUGAAUGGGCACAUGACGCCACCCUCAGAAAGGAAAGCAAGAUCCGGCGCACCCCCUCAGGGCGAGCAAAACCCCAUGGGCUCCGCAGAGGAAGCAGGCCUAGAAUGCCCCCCACCCACCCCCAGACAAGCCUGACUCACUCUUUAACUUGGAACGAACUUUGUUUGCUGUCUUCUUUA